rnacentral:rRNA from 1 species
UACGGAAGGUCCGGGCGUUAUCCGGAUUUAUUGGGUUUAAAGGGAGCGUAGGCGGACUUUCAAGUCAGUGGUAAAAUCGUGUGGCUCAACCAUACCUCGCCAUUGAAACUGGAAGUCUUGAGUGCACGCAGGGGUGCCGGAAUUCAUGGUGUAGCGGUGAAAUGCUUAGAUAUCAUGAAGAACUCCGAUCGCGAAGGCAAGUGCCCGGAGUGCAACUGACGCUGAGGCUCGAAGGUGCGGGUAUCGAA